AUUAGAGGAAGUACAAGUCGUACCAGGUCUUCCGUAGGUGACCAUGCGAUAGGAUCAUUA
rnacentral:rRNA from 1 species